UAAUAUAAAUUCUACUUCAUUUUUUUCUUCGAUUGACAAAGAAUUUGGUGCUGACAAGUUUCGAACUCAUAUCACUGGUAUCAUUACCCAGUCAUUACCCGGGAGGAUAUUAGUCCAAAAUUUAGGAAAGAAACAGAAGAAGAAAAAUUUUCUUCGCAGGGCCACUUUUAGAGCAUGAUUCCUUUCGCUACAGUGUGGAACCUUUUCAUUAACCUCAUUGCCCCUGUAUAAACAUCCUAGAAUUAGGGUUUCAGAAUCACCUUUUGUGUCUCAUAUAUAAAUUUUGGUGUUUUUUGGAUUUCUUCUUGCCGUCUGGAAGAACAGUAAUAGAAAUUGUAGAGAAUGGCUAUGAGAGCAAUUUUUAACAAGAUAUCUCAUUUCUCUUCUAAUACUCUAUCAUUAGGUUUCAUAGAAGGAACCCUAAGGAUUCGUCGUUCCUUUUGGUGUUCAAGAUUCCGACCAACUACUAGAAUAUUUGCCACUAAGGAGGAGGAGGAUGAAUUCAAUGCAUUGAAGUAUUAUAGAUAUCUGGAAACGAACAUACCGAAUGAUGAGUUUUCCGAUAUGAUUUUUGAUUCCAUGUAUGAAUCCUGUCGAUAUGAUCUGCCGGAUGGUUAUCGUCCUUCAAAAGUUGUCGAGGACCUUAUACAAAAAGAGGCAGAAGAUGGUGAACGACAAAGAACUUAUGAGGAAGAGCUUGAAAAUGAAAGACUUUAGGAAGAGGUUGCCCAAUCGCUCCGUUAUAGAUAAGCAGCCCUAGUUAAAUGGGAUAGGCCCAAUUAAGCCAGGAGUAAAAAAUAAAUCACUGAUAGGAGAUCCUGGGUGUUAGAGAUCUUACCUCAUAUUCUUCUAGAUAGGGGAUGCAUAAGCCGAGCAGUCGUCUGAUUGGUAUCAUACUUCCUCUCCUUCGUUGAACUAUUACAAUGCGCGAAUAAAAACAGUCUGCGAAUGAGAACUACCUAACUAAUAAACUUCACAACAGUCUCUAGAAAGCAUAUUACUGAAAAAAAAAGAAGAAAAUAAUUGUCUUCUUUCUUUCU